rnacentral:lncRNA from 1 species
CUUGACAUUUAGCCACAAAUAUGCUCAUCAGAAUCAGCAUAGCCUUCUCCAAUUUCAGUCAGCAAGUUCUCGAAAGGAUUCUCAUACUCCAUGUCACUAGGCAUCAUCCUCACAAAGUAUGCGUCAUCCUGUGCAGGUAAAGGAUUCUGCGUGAUACUCUGGGUGUCACUGUCUUGAAUUACAAUCAGGUUUCCCUGGAUCAUCCUCCCUAUUUAUCUUUUCAAAUCCCGACAACUUUCAAUAUCGUGCCCCGGAGCAUCGGAAUGCUAUUCACACCUAUUAGAAGGGUCAAAGCUUCUUGCACGUGGGUCCAAAUGAUUUGGAGGAAUGGGUGCCAUCAUGCCAUAAUGCUUCAAC